ACUCCUACGGGAGGCAGCAGUGGGGAAUAUUGCACAAUGGGGAAACCCUGAUGCAGCCAUGCCGCGUGUGUGAAGAAGGCCUUCGGUUGUAAAGCACUUUCAGUAGGGAGGAAGGUAGUGUAGUUAACACCUGCAUUAUUUGACGUUACCUACAGAAGAAGCACCGGCUAACUCCGUGCCAGCAGCCGCGGUAAUACGGAGGGGUGCGAGCGUUAAUCGGAAUUACUGGGCGUAAAGCGCAUGCAGGCGGCCUGUUAAGUCAGAUGUGAAAGCCCGGGGGCUUAACCUCGGAAUUGCAUUUGAAACUGGCAGGCUAGAGUCUUGUAGAGGGGGUAGGAAUUUCAGGUGUAGCGGUGAAAUGCGUAGAGAUCUGAAGGAAUACCAGUGGCGAAGGCGGCCCCCUGGACAAAGACUGACGCUCAGAUGCGAAAGCGUGGGGAGGCAAACAGG
rnacentral:rRNA from 1 species